rnacentral:rRNA from 1 species
UAGAUACCCGGGUAGUCCACGCCGUAAACGAUGGUCACUAGCUGUUCGGACUUCGGUCUGAGUGGCUAAGCGAAAGUGAUAAGUGACCCACCUGGGGAGUACGUUCGCAAGAAUGAAACUCAAAGGAAUUGACGGGGGCCCGCACAAGCGGUGGAGCAUGUGGUUUAAUUCGAUGAUACGCGAGGAACCUUACCAGGGCUUAAAUGUAGAUUGCAUUAGCUAGAGAUAGCUAUUUCUUCGGACUAUCUACAAGGUGCUGCAUGGCCGCCGUCAG